AUUGAACGCUGGCGGCAGGCCUAACACAUGCAAGUCGAACGGUAACAGAAAGCAGCUUGCUGCUUUGCUGACGAGUGGCGGACGGGUGAGUAAUGUCUGGGAAACUGCCUGAUGGAGGGGGAUAACUACUGGAAACGGUAGCUAAUACCGCAUAACGUCGCAAGACCAAAGAGGGGGACCUUCGGGCCUCUUGCCAUCGGAUGUGCCCCGAUGGGAUUAGCUAGUAGGUGGGGUAACGGCUCACCUAGGCGACGAUCCCUAGCUGGUCUGAGAGGAUGACCAGCCACACUGGAACUGAGACACGGUCCAGACUCCUACGGGAGGCAGCAGUGGGGAAUAUUGCACAAUGGGCGCAAGCCUGAUGCAGCCAUGCCGCGUGUAUGAAGAAGGCCUUCGGGUUGUAAAGUACUUUCAGCGGGGAGGAAGGGAGUAAAGUUAAUACCUUUGCUAAUUGACGUUACCCGCAGAAGAAGCACCGGCUAACUCCGUG
rnacentral:rRNA from 1 species